ensembl:lncRNA
CCCCACACCAACUGUGUGUACACCUUCAGCCAAGCUUCAACAUGACCACAGCUCGUGGGGCAGGGGCACAAUGAGCUGUGGGGCAGGUUAUUCAUUCAAAGCAGGAGCCCAGAGAUUUCAGGGAACCAUUUGCUGCUGUUGGGGCAGAGUCCAUUUCCUCAUUUCUAGCAGAUGCUGCAGCACCAUCUCAUCACUCAGCCACUGUCUCUCUGCUGAUGCUACUCCGUUGUUUUGCAAGGGGUUAGUUAUGAUAUUUUUUUUCUUCUUCUGCAGCAGCCCAGCUGGAAAUGUAAGAUAAUAUCCAAAAUAAUUAAGAGCUCCUCACACUAUAUUUCCUGCUUGCAUUCUGUCUCCAAGACAUCUUCCAUGGGAGCAAUUCAGCUCUAUGUAUACACUGGGACCAAUUCUGCCCUACUGAAAAUACGUGGAAUUUCAUGGCUGACUUCUCCAGGAUCAGGAUCAGUCCAUAGAGUGCCCAAAUGCAAAUUUGGUUCCAUCCAUGAAGGCCCUGGUGCACCAGCCCCGGAAGUUUCUUCUCCCUCUCUCCUUAUGCAUAUGUAUAUGGCAGUGUGUCUGAGGUGAGAAAAUUCAAGAUCUGAGGGCACCAAAGAUUGCUGCAAAGCCUGGUGAAGACCACAGCAGUUGACCAGUGGAUUUUCUACCCAAGGGCUGCUGAUCCAAAGGGGCUCCGUGGCAGCAUGGUGGGAGAGAUAUGUGGCUGAUUGUCCUGCACAUUACAAACAACAGGGUAGCCUUCCCAUAGCAGUGAUUCCCACCUGGGAGGAGCUGACAGACUGGGAGAGGACUUGUCCACAUUUACACUGUGUCCCCAGUGCACUGUCCCAUAGUCACCUAACAGUCAGAUAGCACCAGCAAAGAGCAAUUUCAGAGCCCCAAUUAGUGAAUUUACUGACAGCUCAUGGACGUUCCUUUAGCUACACCUUUGCAUUUUUGAGGGUUUGAAAGGGAGCUGAAAUGCUGUUUCAGGUCAGUUCAUUCUUAUUCGAACAAAGGAAGAUUUCCAGCUUUAAGCAUGUCAUCAUAAAUUCAGUUCUCACAAAGAGUUUGUAUGGAGUGAUCACCAAAGCAGGGUGACAGGGAGAAGAGAGGGAAAGUCUGAAGAACACAUCACAGAAACAGAGUGGAAGAACAACAUAAUUUGGAUGAAUAAAAGUGCUUAAUUCUGCUAAAUGUGAACUAGCUUUCAGAAGUGUUACUGUAGCUGGUUCUUAAUGCAUACAUGCAUUGGUGGCUCAGAGGCUGGAGGAGAGGACCAGCAGUACUGCAGGAUCCCUGCUCUGUGCCUGCCAUCAGUGAACCCUACUGCUGCACAAUGCACAUCUGACCCCAAAGCAAUGGAAGAAGAGUGAUAACAGAAAUGAACACUGCUGACAAGGUAAACAGAGAGACAUGGCAACCUGCUUGUUAGAGACAGCUAAUGCUUGAGGGAACUCCGCAUUCAACACCACUGCAAGAAAAAAAACCUAAAGGCUGCACAGCCCCAGAUCUCAACCUGUCCUCAAAGGAGAAGUGUUCCAUCCCUUGCACCAUUUUUGUGGUCCUCCUCUGGAUGCACUCCAACCGAUCCAUGUAUUUCCUGUACUGAAGACUCCACAUCUGGACACACUACUCCAGACGGCAGCAGUGGGGCAGCCUGACAGAAUGGCCUCUAACAUGGAAGCGCGUAUGGAGAAAUGGUGUAGGAUUCAAGAAU